rnacentral:rRNA from 1 species
GGUUAAGCGACUAAGCGUACACGGUGGAUGCCCUGGCAGUCAGAGGCGAUGAAGGACGUGCUAAUCUGCGAUAAGCGUCGGUAAGGUGAUAUGAACCGUUAUAACCGGCGAUUUCCGAAUGGGGAAACCCAGUGUGUUUCGACACACUAUCAUUAACUGAAUCCAUAGGUUAAUGAGGCGAACCGGGGAACUGAAACAUCUAAGUACCCCGAGGAAAAGAAAUCAACCGAGAUUCCCCCAGUAGCGGCGAGCGAACGGGGAGCAGCCCAGAGCCUGAAUCAGUGUGUGUGUUAGUGGAAGCGUCUGGAAAGGCGCGCGAUACAGGGUGACAGCCCCGUACACAAAAAUGCACAUGCUGUGAGCUCGAUGAGUAGGGCGGGACACGUGGUAUCCUGUCUGAAUAUGGGGGGACCAUCCUCCAAGGCUAAAUACUCCUGACUGACCGAUAGUGAACCAGUACCGUGAGGGAAAGGCGAAAAGAACCCCGGCGAGGGGAGUGAAAAAGAACCUGAAACCGUGUACGUACAAGCAGUGGGAGCACGCUUAGGCGUGUGACUGCGUACCUUUUGUAUAAUGGGUCAGCGACUUAUAUUCUGUAGCAAGGUUAACCGAAUAGGGGAGCCGAAGGGAAACCGAGUCUUAACUGGGCGUUAAGUUGCAGGGUAUAGACCCGAAACCCGGUGAUCAGCCAUGGGCAGGUUGAAGGUUGGGUAACACUAACUGGAGGACCGAACCGACUAAUGUUGAAAAAUUAGCGGAUGACUUGUGGCUGGGGGUGAAAGGCCAAUCAAACCGGGAGAUAGCUGGUUCUCCCGAAAGCUAUUUAGGUAGCGCCUCGUGAAUUCAUCUCCGGGGGUAGAGCACUGUUUCGGCAAGGGGGUCAUCCCGACUUACCAACCCGAUGCAAACUGCGAAUACCGGAGAAUGUUAUCACGGGAGACACACGGCGGGUGCUAACGUCCGUCGUGAAGAGGGAAACAACCCAGACCGCCAGCUAAGGUCCCAAAGUCAUGGUUAAGUGGGAAACGAUGUGGGAAGGCCCAGACAGCCAGGAUGUUGGCUUAGAAGCAGCCAUCAUUUAAAGAAAGCGUAAUAGCUCACUGGUCGAGUCGGCCUGCGCGGAAGAUGUAACGGGGCUAAACCAUGCACCGAAGCUGCGGCAGCGACACUAUGUGUUGUUGGGUAGGGGAGCGUUCUGUAAGCCUGUGAAGGUGUGCUGUGAGGCAUGCUGGAGGUAUCAGAAGUGCGAAUGCUGACAUAAGUAACGAUAAAGCGGGUGAAAAGCCCGCUCGCCGGAAGACCAAGGGUUCCUGUCCAACGUUAAUCGGGGCAGGGUGAGUCGACCCUAAGGCGAGGCCGAAAGGCGUAGUCGAUGGGAAACAGGUUAAUAUUCCUGUACUUGGUGUUACUGCGAAGGGGGGACGGAGAAGGCUAUGUUGGCCGGGCGACGGUUGUCCCGGUUUAAGCGUGUAGGCUGGUUUUCCAGGCAAAUCCGGAAAAUCAAGGCUGAGGCGUGAUGACGAGGCACUACGGUGCUGAAGCAACAAAUGCCCUGCUUCCAGGAAAAGCCUCUAAGCAUCAGGUAACAUCAAAUCGUACCCCAAACCGACACAGGUGGUCAGGUAGAGAAUACCAAGGCGCUUGAGAGAACUCGGGUGAAGGAACUAGGCAAAAUGGUGCCGUAACUUCGGGAGAAGGCACGCUGAUAUGUAGGUGAAGUCCCUUGCGGAUGGAGCUGAAAUCAGUCGAAGAUACCAGCUGGCUGCAACUGUUUAUUAAAAACACAGCACUGUGCAAACACGAAAGUGGACGUAUACGGUGUGACGCCUGCCCGGUGCCGGAAGGUUAAUUGAUGGGGUCAGCGCAAGCGAAGCUCUUGAUCGAAGCCCCGGUAAACGGCGGCCGUAACUAUAACGGUCCUAAGGUAGCGAAAUUCCUUGUCGGGUAAGUUCCGACCUGCACGAAUGGCGUAAUGAUGGCCAGGCUGUCUCCACCCGAGACUCAGUGAAAUUGAACUCGCUGUGAAGAUGCAGUGUACCCGCGGCAAGACGGAAAGACCCCGUGAACCUUUACUAUAGCUUGACACUGAACAUUGAGCCUUGAUGUGUAGGAUAGGUGGGAGGCUUUGAAGUGUGGACGCCAGUCUGCAUGGAGCCGACCUUGAAAUACCACCCUUUAAUGUUUGAUGUUCUAACGUUGACCCGUAAUCCGGGUUGCGGACAGUGUCUGGUGGGUAGUUUGACUGGGGCGGUCUCCUCCUAAAGAGUAACGGAGGAGCACGAAGGUUGGCUAAUCCUGGUCGGACAUCAGGAGGUUAGUGCAAUGGCAUAAGCCAGCUUGACUGCGAGCGUGACGGCGCGAGCAGGUGCGAAAGCAGGUCAUAGUGAUCCGGUGGUUCUGAAUGGAAGGGCCAUCGCUCAACGGAUAAAAGGUACUCCGGGGAUAACAGGCUGAUACCGCCCAAGAGUUCAUAUCGACGGCGGUGUUUGGCACCUCGAUGUCGGCUCAUCACAUCCUGGGGCUGAAGUAGGUCCCAAGGGUAUGGCUGUUCGCCAUUUAAAGUGGUACGCGAGCUGGGUUUAGAACGUCGUGAGACAGUUCGGUCCCUAUCUGCCGUGGGCGCUGGAGAACUGAGGGGGGCUGCUCCUAGUACGAGAGGACCGGAGUGGACGCAUCACUGGUGUUCGGGUUGUCAUGCCAAUGGCACUGCCCGGUAGCUAAAUGCGGAAGAGAUAAGUGCUGAAAGCAUCUAAGCACGAAACUUGCCCCGAGAUGAGUUCUCCCUGACUCCUUGAGAGUCCUGAAGGAACGUUGAAGACGACGACGUUGAUAGGCCGGGUGUGUAAGCGCAGCGAUGCGUUGAGCUAACCGGUACUAAUGAACCGUGAGGCUUAACCUU